GGAGGCAUAGCUCAGCUGGUCAGAGCGCUUGCUUCACACGCAAGAGGUCCCCGGUUCGAGCCCGGGUGCGUCCACCA
rnacentral:tRNA from 2 species